GAUUAUGGCUCAGGAUGAACGCUGGCGGCGUGCUUAAUACAUGCAAGUCGAACGAAGACAUCUCGCCGAAGCUUGCUUCAUUGAGAUAUCUUAGUGGCGGACGGGUGAGUAACGCGUGGGUAACCUGCCUUACACAGGGGGAUAACAGUUAGAAAUGACUGCUAAUACCGCAUAAGCGCACAUUAUCGCAUGAUAGAGUGUGAAAAGAUUUAUCGGUGUAAGAUGGACCCGCGUCUGAUUAGCUAGUUGGUGAGGUAACGGCCCACCAAGGCGACGAUCAGUAGCCGGCCUGAGAGGGUGAACGGCCACAUUGGGACUGAGACACGGCCCAAACUCCUACGGGAGGCAGCAGUAGGGAAUAUUGGACAAUGGGGGAAACCCUGAUCCCAGCGACGCCGCGUGAGUGAAGAAGUAUUUCGGUACGUAAAGCUCUAUCAGCAGGGAAGAAAAUGACGGUACCUGACUAAGAAGCACCGGCUAAAUACGUGCCAGCAGCCGC
rnacentral:rRNA from 1 species